UGGCGACAAUAGCGCGGCAGUCCCACCUGACCCCAUGCCGAACUCAGAAGUGAAACGUCGUAGCGCCGAUGGUAGUGUGGGGUCUCCCCAUGUGAGAGUAGGGAAUCGCCAGGCA
rnacentral:rRNA from 1 species